AUCAUGGGGUCACUGUACACCUGGCUCUCCCCUCCACAGCUCGGAAUACCUGGCCAUCACCUCAGAAAGCAAAGAGAACUGUACGGGUGUCCAGGUGGCCGAAUAGCCCUGGCCCUGGGCUCCGCCUCAUGGAAGAGCCAGCCCUAGUGGGGAACCCCCAGGCACAGCCUGCCCCAACCCCGGGGGGGUUGGCCAUCCCUGGGCCUCCACACGCCUCAGAGUCCUGCCAUCGGAGCCGCAGGGGGGGUAGGGGGGCCAGGGGCUUGGCUCACACCCCUAACCCCGCCACCUUCCUCCUGCCCCUGUCGCCCACCCAGCACCAUGCAUGACGGGUAAAGCAAUACUGCCGCUGCCCCCACCCUGCUUCUGCUGCCUGUUUGGGGAGGGGGCGGUGAGGUGGGGGCAGCGGCUCCGCACCCCUCCUUCUUGCUGAUUUGCACACAUUGGCCGCUUCGGACACGCACUUGUGGGGCCAGCCCCUUCCUGCCCCAUCCCUGCCCAGCGGGGGGUUGUGAUCAGCUGGGGGUUUGGGGCAGGGGGUCUGGGACCCACUCCAGCCCCCAGCAUCAUCUCUCCUCCUGCUUCCUCCGGCUGGACCUGGGGUCCCUCUCCCUGUGAAGCACUCUUGCCUGGCCCCACCCCACUCCCUCUCACCAGCCUUGGAUUGUGGUGGCCACGUAGAAAGGGGCCCUUCGGCCUCGCCUCUUUACAGAAGUAGUUUUGUUCAUGAAAUAAAGAUUCUUGGACUUGA